rnacentral:rRNA from 1 species
UACGUAGGGUGCAAGCGUUAAUCGGAAUUACUGGGCGUAAAGCGUGCGCAGGCGGUGAUGCAAGACAGAUGUGAAAUCCCCGGGCUUAACCUGGGAACUGCAUUUGUGACUGCAUUGCUGGAGUGCGGCAGAGGGGGAUGGAAUUCCGCGUGUAGCAGUGAAAUGCGUAGAUAUGCGGAGGAACACCGAUGGCGAAGGCAAUCCCCUGGGCCUGCACUGACGCUCAUGCACGAAAGCGUGGGGAGCAAACAGG